UACGGAGGGCGCAAGCGUUGUCCGGAAUCACUGGGCGUAAAGGGCGCGUAGGCGGCUCAUGAAGGCUGUGGUGAAAGUCCGGGGCUCAACCUCGGAUCGGCCGUGGCGACUCGUGGGCUGGAGCACUGUAGAGGCGGGUGGAAUUCCGGGUGUAGCGGUGGAAUGCGUAGAGAUCCGGAAGAACACCAAUGGCGAAGGCAGCUUGCUGGGACGGUACUGACACUGAGGCGCGAAAGCGUGGGGAGCAAACAGG
rnacentral:rRNA from 1 species